AACCCAUGAUGAGGGCACAUUCUCAAUAGAUCCUUGUAUCUCUCCCAUGCAUCAUAUAGGGUCACUAAAUAAAUCUGGGUAAAGGAAGAAAUACCAUUCCCCAACUU
rfam:Gossypium raimondii Chr02_contig_1159, whole genome shotgun sequence.